AGGCUAACACAUGCAAGUCGAGCGGCAGCGGAAAGUAGCUUGCUACUUUGCCGGCGAGCGGCGGACGGGUGAGUAAUGUCUGGGAAACUGCCUGAUGGAGGGGGAUAACUACUGGAAACGGUAGCUAAUACCGCAUAACGUCGCAAGACCAAAGAGGGGGACCUUCGGGCCUCUUGCCAUCAGAUGUGCCCAGAUGGGAUUAGCUAGUAGGUGGGGUAACGGCUCACCUAGGCGACGAUCCCUAGCUGGUCUGAGAGGAUGACCAGCCACACUGGAACUGAGACACGGUCCAGACUCCUACGGGAGGCAGCAGUGGGGAAUAUUGGACAAUGGGCGAAAGCCUGAUCCAGCCAUGCCGCGUGUGUGAAGAAGGUCUUCGGAUUGUAAAGCACUUU
rnacentral:rRNA from 1 species